GCAGCGGAGCGAGCGCGCACACGUGACGCGGCGCUCGGUGCCUCUACACCGCCGCACACACACACACGCACACCCGGCGCUGCCCUCGGCUCCUCCGGCCGCGUUCGCCGCCUCCCGCUCCCGUCCGCACGCGCCCCUCGGCCGCAGCCAGGGCGAAGCGCGCUCCGCGGCGGCGGCAGCACCGGCACCGGCGGCAGCGACCGCGCAAGAGGCGGCGAGAGUUCGCGUGCACCGGCUGCUGCGUGCCCGCCCGGCGAGUGGUGCGCCCGGAGGAUGGCCGGCUGCGGGCUGUCGGAAGACGCCUUCUUCUCCUCCUUCUUUUACAACUACACCGCCUCCUGGGAGACCUCCUACAACCAGUCUUUGCGCAGAACUGUGAAUUCUCAAUGCAGAAUGACAUUUCCAACAGUGAGCGUUUUGUGGAUGUCGAUUUGAGAAUAUUCUCUGCAAGGCUCCAAAUGGAAAGUUUUGCAAACUGUUAAAGCCAUUAAGCAAUUAGACUAAUCAAGUGUUCAAUCACCAUAAUUUCCUGAAAGAAUGUUCAAUAAGUACAGUGACCCUUUCAAGAGGAAAGAUCAGAAAGUCACAAAGAAUUGAGAAACUACUUCUGAAUCUCCCGGUGUUCAAAACCAUACAUAAAAUUGUGUCCUCCAAAGGCAUAAUUCCCAAAUGAAUGUAAUGUUCGACUAUAAACAACCUUUUCUAGAUGGAGUCUUGUAGUCAAUACACUGUAAUGGACAAAUUAUGUCAUUUAUCCUCUGUUUUUAUCAGCCUUGCUCUUCCUACAAGUUGGGAAUGUGAUUUAUUCAUAAAUGAGAUAUUUGGAUGUUUAUUUAAACAUUGAAGUCUCUUUUAUAAAAUAGACUAUUUUUCUCAUGAAAACGAC
rnacentral:lncRNA from 1 species